UUUUUGGAGAGUUUGAUCUUGGCUCAGGACGAACGCUGGCGGCGUGCCUAAUACAUGCAAGUCGAGCGCUGGAAGCUAAUUUCAUCCCUUCGGGAUGAAAUUAGUGGAAAGAGCGGCGGACGGGUGAGUAACACGUGGGCAACCUACCUAUAAGACUGGGAUAACUCGCGGAAACGUGAGCUAAUACCGGAUAAUACUUUUUAUUGCAUAGUAAGAAG
rnacentral:rRNA from 1 species